UACGAAGGGGGCUAGCGUUGCUCGGAAUUACUGGGCGUAAAGCGCACGUAGGCGGACUUUUAAGUCGGAGGUGAAAUCCUGGAGCUCAACUCCAGAACUGCCUUCGAAACUGAAAGCCUUGAGUUCGGGAGAGGUGAGUGGAACUGCGAGUGUAGAGGUGAAAUUCGUAGAUAUUCGCAAGAACACCAGUGGCGAAGGCGGCUCACUGGUCCGGUACUGACGCUGAGGUGCGAAAGCGUGGGGAGCAAAC
rnacentral:rRNA from 1 species